UCAAACGAUUAUACUAGCACUAAUAUACCGGAUUCCAUCAUAACUAUGCAGUUAAGUAUGCUAGAACAAAAAUAAUAUAAAGAUGGGUGACUUCUUAGGAAGUUCUCGUAUUGCACUCC
rfam:Gossypium hirsutum cultivar TM-1 chromosome 2, whole genome shotgun sequence